UACGGGGGGAGCAAGCGUUGUUCGGAUUUACUGGGCGUAAAGGGCGCGUAGGCGGCGUGACAAGUCACUUGUGAAAUCUCCGGGCUUAACUCGGAACGGUCAAGUGAUACUGUCGUGCUAGAGUGCGGAAGGGGCAACUGGAAUUCUUGGUGUAGCGGUGAAAUGCGUAGAUAUCAAGAGGAACACCUGCGGCGAAGGCGGGUUGCUGGGCCGACACUGACGCUGAGGCGCGAAAGCUAGGGGAGCGAACGGGAUUAGAAACCCCAGUAGUCC
rnacentral:rRNA from 1 species